rnacentral:rRNA from 1 species
GAUGAACGCUAGCUACAGGCUUAACACAUGCAAGUCGAGGGACCGGCGCACGGGUGAGUAACACGUAUCCAACCUGCCCUUUACCCGGGGAUAGCUUUUCGAAAGAAAGACUAAUCCCCGCUAUAACGUCUGGGGAUGCGUUCCAUUAGGUUGUUGGUGAGGUAACGGCUCACCAAGCCUUCGACGGAUAGGGGUUCUGGGAGGAAAGGCCCCCACAUUGGAACUGAGACACGAUCCAAACUCCUACGGGAAGCAGAAAUGAGGAAUAUUGGUCAAUGAGCGGUAGCCUGAACCAACCGAGUAGCGUGAAGUAUGAAAGCUUAUGGGUCGUAAACUUCUUUUAUAGGAGAAUAUGUAUUAUAUGAAUAAGGAUCGGCUAACUCCGUGCCAGCAGCCGCGGUAAUAC